CCCCUACGGGACGCAGCAGUGGGGAAUAUUGCACAAUGGGGGAAACCCUGAUGCAGCAACGCCGUGUGAGUGAAGAAGUCAUUCGUGAUGUAAAGCUCUAUCAGCAGGGAAGAAAAUGACGGUACCUGAGUAAGAGGCCCCGGCUAACUACGUGCCAGCAGCCGCGGUAAUACGUAGGGGGCAAGCGUUAUCCGGAUUUACUGGGUGUAAAGGGAGCGUAGACGGCAUGGCAAGUCAGAUGUGAAAGCCCGGGGCUCAACCCCGGGACUGCAUUUGAAACUGUCAGGCUGGAGUGCCGGAGAGGG
rnacentral:rRNA from 1 species